AGAACGAACGCUGGCGGCAGGCCUCAAACAUGCAAGUCUAGGGGGUGUAGCAAUACAUCACCGGCGGACGGGUGCGUAACACGUGGGAAUAUACCUUUUGGUUCGGAACAACGCAGGGAAACUUGCGCUAAUACCGAAUGUGCCCUUACGGGGAAAGAUUUAUCGCCAAAGGAUUAGCCCGCGUAGGAUUAGCUAGUUGGUGAGGUAAUGGCUCACCAAGGCUCCGAUCCUUAGCUGUUCUGAGAGGAAGAUCAGCCACACUGGGACUGAGACACGGCCCAGACUCCUACGGGAGGCAGCAGUUGGGAAUCUUGGACAAUGGGGGAAACCCUGAUCCAGCCAUGCCGCGUGAGUGAUGAAGGCCUUCGGGUUGUAAAACUCUUUUAGCGGGGUACGAUGAUGACGGUACCGCAGAAUAAGCCCGGCUAACUUCGUGCCAGCAGCCGC
rnacentral:rRNA from 1 species